AUGCACGCUGGCGGCGUGCCUAAUACAUGCAAGUCGAGCGAACAGACGAGGAGCUUGCUCCUCUGACGUUAGCGGCGGACGGGUGAGUAACACGUGGAUAACCUACCUAUAAGACUGGGAUAACUUCGGGAAACCGGAGCUAAUACCGGAUAAUAUAUUGAACCGCAUGGUUCAAUAGUGAAAGACGGUUUUGCUGUCACUUAUAGAUGGAUCCGCGCCGCAUUAGCUAGUUGGUAAGGUAACGGCUUACCAAGGCAACGAUGCGUAGCCGACCUGAGAGGGUGAUCGGCCACCCUGGAACUGAGACACGGUCCAGACUCCUACGGGAGGCAGCAGUAGGGAAUCUUCCGCAAUGGGCGAAAGCCUGACGGAGCAACGCCGCGUGAGUGAUGAAGGUCUUCGGAUCGUAAAACUCUGUUAUUAGGGAAGAACAAAUGUGUAAGUAACUAUGCACGUCUUGACGGUACCUAAUCAGAAAGCCACGGCUAACUACGUG
rnacentral:rRNA from 1 species